rnacentral:rRNA from 1 species
GGACUACCGGGGUUUCUAAUCCUGUUUGCUACCCACGCUUUCGUGCCUCAGCGUCAGUUACGGUCCAGAAAGCCGUUUACACCACCGGUGUUCCUCCUGAUAUCUACGCAUUUCACCGCUACACCAGGAAUUCCACUUUCCUCUCCCGCACUUUAGCCACUCAGUAUUCGGCGCACCCUCCCGGUUGAGCAGGGAGAUUUCACACCAGACUUAAAUAGCCGCCUACGCACCCUUUACGCCCAGUAACUCCGAACAACGCUUGCUGCCUACGUAUUACCGCGGCUGCUGGCAC